UAUUAAAAAUUUCAUCAAUUGCUACUAUUAUAAACUGGUGCGACUGACAAAAUAACUAGACAAUUACAUGUGAUAUGCCAUGUGUACCUCAUGCUAACAUACAUGUAUCAAUUUUUAAUAGUAGAAAUGGAUGAAUUUUUUAACA
rfam:Gossypium raimondii Chr03_contig_952, whole genome shotgun sequence.